GACGAACGCUGGCGGCGUGCUUAACACAUGCAAGUCGAACGGAAAGGCCUCUUUCGGGGGGUACUCGAGUGGCGAACGGGUGAGUAACACGUGAGUAACCUGCCCUUGACUUUGGGAUAACUUCAGGAAACUGGGGCUAAUACCGGAUAGGAGCUCCUGCUGCAUGGUGGGGGUUGGAAAGUUUCGGCGGUUGGGGAUGGACUCGCGGCUUAUCAGCUUGUUGGUGGGGUAGUGGCUUACCAAGGCUUUGACGGGUAGCCGGCCUGAGAGGGUGACCGGCCACAUUGGGACUGAGAUACGGCCCAGACUCCUACGGGAGGCAGCAGUGGGGAAUAUUGCACAAUGGGUGGAAGCCUGAUGCAGCAACGCCGGGUGCGGGAUGACGGCCUUCGGGUUGUAAACCGCUUACGCUCAUGACGAAGCUUUGUGUGACGGUAGUGGGUAAAGAAGCACCGGCUAACUACGUG
rnacentral:rRNA from 1 species